GCCACUUCUCUUUCACCUCAAGUUUUUUAUAUGAAAAUAAAAUCCUCAAAAUGGAAACUUAUGAUAGGUUUAUGUAGUAACCACAGGCACAAAAAAAAAUUGGGUUCAAAUUGAAACUGGCCUCAAAGGUUUUUUAUGCAAUUAACCCACUCAGGAUAUUUUCAACAAUCCGCCAUCUUUCUUUUUUUUCAUUUUUUUUCCUUUCAUUUUUAGUUAGGGAACAGUGUUCAAUUCUUGCAGUUGCGUCUCAAAUUAUACUUCAUGAGGCUUUUUAUUACAUCUGAUCUGAUGUUGUGAAAAGGGCAUCAAAAAAAUGGGGGAAGAAGGGAAGAUGUCUUCCAAAUUCAGUGUCAAAGUUUGUAGCAUUGACAGGCUCAGAUAAAGACACUUUUCGAAAAUUUUAUUAAAGCAACUUAAAAAUGCUUCCCAGGUGCAUUUGGGAUGUAUAUAGAAAUUCAAAAACAUAUCAAAAGCAGUUUCUAGCUGUUCUUUGCACUGUUUUCAAAACCAGAUUGGACUGGGCAGUCACACUGAUAACUAGACCAAUGAAAAGUUCUUUUUUUAAUUAUUAUCCUUUAUUUUAUUUUCCCUUUUUUGGCCUUAAAAUCAUUAAUAUAAUGAUUUUAAAACUUUUUUUUAUUACAUUUGAUUUGACCUAUUUGUUUCAAAAUUAAAUCAGUUGGAACCGGUAAGAUGGUGUCAACUAACUAGUUCACCAACCAGUUGGUCAGGUUUUAAGAACAUUGGCUAUUUGGAAAAGAA
rnacentral:misc_RNA from 1 species